AGCGAACGCUGGCGGCAGGCCUAACACAUGCAAGUCGAACGGUCCCUUCGGGGUUAGUGGCGGACGGGUGAGUAACACGUGGGAACGUGCCUUUAGGUUCGGAAUAGCUCCUGGAAACGGGUGGUAAUGCCGAAUGUGCCCUUCGGGGGAAAGAUUUAUCGCCUUUAGAGCGGCCCGCGUCUGAUUAGCUAGUUGGUGAGGUAACGGCUCACCAAGGCGACGAUCAGUAGCUGGUCUGAGAGGAUGACCAGCCACAUUGGGACUGAGACACGGCCCAAACUCCUACGGGAGGCAGCAGUGGGGAAUCUUGCGCAAUGGGCGAAAGCCUGACGCAGCCAUGCCGCGUGGAUGAUGAAGGUCUUAGGAUUGUAAAAUCCUUUCACCGGUGAAGAUAAUGACUGUAGCCGGAGAAGAAGCCCCGGCUAACUCCGUGCCAGCAGCCGCCGUAAAAC
rnacentral:rRNA from 1 species